GGACGAACGCUGGCGGCGUGCUUAACACAUGCAAGUCGAACGGAAAGGCCUAGCUUGCUGGGUACUCGAGUGGCGAACGGGUGAGUAACACGUGGGUGAUCUGCCCCUGACUUUGGGAUAAGCCUGGGAAACUGGGUCUAAUACCGGAUAUUCAUUUUUCCUCGCAUGGGGAUUUGUGGAAAGCUUUUGCGGUUGGGGAUGGGCCCGCGGCCUAUCAGCUUGUUGGUGGGGUAAUGGCCUACCAAGGCGACGACGGGUAGCCGACCUGAGAGGGUGAUCGGCCACACUGGGACUGAGACACGGCCCAGACUCCUACGGGAGGCAGCAGUGGGGAAUAUUGCACAAUGGGCGCAAGCCUGAUGCAGCGACGCCGCGUGAGGGAUGACGGCCUUCGGGUUGUAAACCUCUUUCAGCUCCGACGAAGCGCAAGUGACGGUAGGAGCAGAAGAAGCACCGGCCAACUACGUG
rnacentral:rRNA from 1 species